rnacentral:rRNA from 1 species
CCUUUCGACCGGGACGAUUAUGACGGUACCGGUAGAAGAAGCCCCGGCUAACUUCGUGCCAGCAGCCGCGGUAAUACGAAGGGGGCUAGCGUUGUUCGGAAUUACUGGGCGUAAAGGGCGCGUAGGCGGUGGGUCAAGUCCGGUGUGAAAUCUCCGGGCUCAACUCGGAGGCUGCAUCCGAAACUGUCCUGCUUGAGUGUGGGAGAGGUGCGUGGAAUUCCCGGUGUAGCGGUGAAAUUCGUAGAUUUCGGGAGGAACACCUGUGGCGAAAGCGGCGCGCUGGACCAUGACUGACGCUGAGGCACGAAAGCUUGGGGAGCAAACAGGAUUAAAUACCCUGGUAGUCCUAGCCCUAAACGAUGAGUGC